GCCCUUUAGUACGGAAUAGCCAUUGGAAACGAUGAUUAAUACCGUAUACGCCCUAUGGGGGAAAGAUUUAUCGCUAAAGGAUCGGCCCGCGUUAGAUUAGGUUGUUGGUGGGGUAAUGGCCUACCAAGCCUACGAUCUAUAGCUGGUUUGAGAGGAUGAUCAGCAACACUGGGACUGAGACACGGCCCAGACUUCUACGGAAGGCAGCAGUAGGGAAUCUUGGACAAUGGGCGAAAGCCUGAUCCAGCCAUGCCGCGUGAGUGAUG
rnacentral:rRNA from 1 species